GCUCCGCGCCGCAAGCCGGCUGGGAAACCUGCGUGAGAGGGACCGCAGAGCUGCGCGGUGAGAGCCGCGCUGCUGGGUGCGGUGCUACGGGGCUGAGUUCAGCAACGGCGGGGGAUCGCCGGCAGCUAGAGCGGUGACAUCUCUCAGCCGUGUAGUGACAGGUUUCACACUUGUAACAAAAAGCGUGAGUGUUUCGUUUCUGCUGCUGCUGCCCAGUUUUACUAAAAUUUUUAACGUUGAGGAUAUCUCCCACAGUCUGGAAUGACGCCGUGGGUCUGCAGGCUCAUACUGAAGGGGAAAUGGCAGAGGAGAAUGGGUUUUUAAGGAAGCUGAGGAGUGUCGGAUGGGGUCUGUCAUCAGUGAUUGCUGUGGAAGCUGCGAGCUGCAACAGAAAAGAGAACUGAGUAGGAGAGGGCUUCAUUGUCUACAGCAAGCAAUGGACGCUUGAUGGAGAUGGACAGUGGAAGAUUAUGGAAGGAUGAAAGAAAAGAGAUGUGCUCUUGAUGAACUGAAAUGAUUUUAAGUAGCCCUAAAUUAUAGAACUGUUGUGAAGUCACCAUGAAAGGAGCUAAGUGAACAAGAGUUUUGAAUUUAUCAACACGUGUUCAUACACAAAGUGCAAAAGGGUUUUAGGGGCAGAGCUCCUAAAAUAAAAUUAUUUUUAAAACAAAACAAAACAAAAAAAAAAAAAAAACCAACGCCAAACAACACUCAAGGGAAACAUGGAAGAUGUGGCCUUCAGAAGACUACUAAAGAUCUGUUUAUUUAGCACCUAAUCUGAGAUGCUUCACAAGAAAGACCAAGAAGUCACAGCCAUCAUUGUGUCUCAUCACAGGUACUCCCACUUCUGGUUCCUUAAUGGCCUGCUGGAUAGCCACCUUCUGCCACCUGUUUCUACUAUAGAUGUAACUUUUAAUUUUAAUGCAAAUAAUGAAUAAGUAAGUGCAAAAGAUAAAAUUUGGUUUUAGGGUGAACUAUGCACACAUGGGUAGCUCAACAAAACUGCAGAAGGCUGCUUGGAGUAAUUUGUCUGAAGCUUGUAGGGAUCACAAUCUCAAAGUGCUGGCUAUUUAGUAGCACAACAACAGAGAGGCAAAUAAGGUUUUUUAUGUAGUAUUUCUCAAUAUAUGUAUUUCUCAAUAAAAGUAAUGUAAAAAAUUUGAAAUUCAUAUUCAAAAUAUUUAAUAUUUUGAGAAAUAAAUUGAUUUAGUCAUUGCUAAUUUGCCUGUGACUUUGCCAUUUCAGUACUUAUCUUGUAGAUACAUAGUGUGCAAUAUUUAAAUAAACAAGGACAAACAUUUACACUUCUAAUACAAUACAUAAAGCCUAUGUCAUCCAGAGGAUGUGCUCAUAAAUCUCAAAAAGGCUGUCUCUUGCCAUGACUCACAAAAGCAAAAUAAAUAAUUAUUCAAUACGC